rnacentral:sRNA from 1 species
AUGGAUGAGGAGCGCGCCCUCUACAUCGUCCGGGCCGGCGAAGCAGGGGCUAUCGAGCGGGUCCUGAGGGAUUACAGCGACAAGCAUAGGGCUACUUUCAAAUUUGAAUCAACAGAUGAAGAUAAAAGAAAGAAACUCUGUGAAGGCAUAUUUAAAGUCCUUAUAAAGGACAUCCCAACAACAUGUCAAGUGUCCUGCCUGGAAGUACUCCGCAUUCUCUCCAGAGACAAAAAGGUUUUAGUUCCUGUAACAACUAAGGAAAAUAUGCAGAUACUGCUGCGACUAGCCAAGCUAAAUGAGUUAGAUGAUUCUUUGGAGAAAGUAUCAGAGUUCCCAGUUAUUGUGGAGUCAUUAAAAUGUCUGUGUAAUAUAGUGUUCAACAGUCAGAUGGCACAGCAGCUCAGCCUGGAACUUAAUCUUGCUGCAAAGCUCUGUAACCUCCUGAGAAAGUGCAAGGACCGGAAAUUUAUCAAUGACAUUAAGUGCUUUGACUUGCGCUUGCUCUUCCUUCUGUCACUUUUGCACACCGACAUCAGGUCACAAUUGCGCUAUGAGCUCCAGGGACUACCGCUGCUAACGCAGAUCUUGGAAAGUGCCUUUAGCAUCAAGUGGACCGAUGAGUAUGAAUCGGCCGUAGACCAUAAUGGACCUCCUCUCUCACCUCAGGAGACAGACUGUGCCAUUGAGGCCCUCAAAGCUCUCUUCAAUGUGACGGUAGACAGUUGGAAGGUGCAUAAAGAGAGUGAUUCUCAUCAGUUCCGUGUAAUGGCAGCUGUCCUUCGUCAUUGUUUACUAAUCGUAGGUCCAACUGAAGACAAAACAGAAGAGCUACACAGCAAUGCAGUCAACCUUUUAAGCAAUGUUCCGGUCUCUUGUUUGGAUGUUCUCAUUUGUCCGUUAACCCAUGAAGAAACAGCCCAAGAGGCAACGACUCUAGAUGAACUGCCCAGUAAUAAAACAGCUGAGAAAGAAACAGUUUUGAAAAACAAUACCAUGGUAUACAAUGGUAUGAAUAUGGAGGCCAUUCAUGUUUUACUUAAUUUUAUGGAGAAGAGAAUAGACAAGGGAAGCAGCUAUAGAGAGGGUCUAACUCCAGUUCUCAGCUUAUUAACCGAAUGUUCCCGAGCCCAUCGAAACAUCCGAAAAUUUCUCAAAGAUCAGGUUUUACCACCGUUGAGGGAUGUGACAAAUCGACCUGAAGUUGGCUCAACUGUGAGAAAUAAGCUGGUGCGCCUCAUGACACAUGUUGACCUUGGAGUCAAGCAAAUUGCUGCUGAAUUCCUUUUUGUCCUUUGCAAAGAGAGAGUGGAUAGUCUGCUGAAAUACACUGGCUAUGGGAAUGCUGCAGGACUGUUGGCGGCCAGGGGCCUCUUGGCUGGAGGAAGAGGAGAUAAUUGGUACUCAGAGGAUGAGGACACAGACACUGAAGAAUACAAAAAUGCAAAACCAAACAUUAAUCUUAUCACUGGUCAUUUAGAGGAACCAAUGCCAAACCCCAUAGAUGAAAUGACAGAAGAACAAAAAGAAUAUGAAGCCAUGAAACUUGUCAACAUGCUUGAUAAACUUUCCAGGUAUUGUAUUCCCAUCCAUUUUUUGCUUGGUUUCUAAAAAUGGUCUAUUUCUUUGUCUCUCUCACUGAGAGUUACCAUAGAACAGCAACUCUGGAAAUCCAUGUUGAUUGGAAUAGGGUGGCCCAGGCAGCAGUAGUUCAGAUAGCUCUUGGCUACCAUGGUUUUUCUACAUGUGCCGCUUCUGGAUGUGCAUUCCUAAACAUUUAAACUCUCAAAGCUAAGAUAGUAACUACCAGAGCACUGUAAUAAUUAACCAACUAACCUCCCUGUCUUCAAAAAGAUGCUGUGAGUUAGAUUCAGUGAUUUUGCUGCUGCUUGUAUUUUUGUUUUAGCCUGUUUUAGUUUUUGUUUCAAAUCAUGAUGCUUUUAUUUUUUCAUUUUUGAUGUGUAAGUUUGCAAUUACGCCUUUUUGGGUUGCUGCUGAAACCAAGAAUUCUAAAAUGUCAUGCACCCAAUAAGAAAAAGUGAAAAGAAAUAGCUCACAUGAAGGAUUUUCUGAAAACAGGGACUUGUAUUAAUUAGGAGUUCUAAAAAAAAAAAAAAAAAAACAACAACAAAAAAACAAAAA